rnacentral:rRNA from 1 species
UGUAAGCGUAUACCAAAGUUGUUGCAGUUAAAACGCUCGUAGUCGGAAUUUGGCAGUUCCGGAUGUGUGCACGUCGUGUGCGCACUUCGCGGGGAUUGCUUUUGUGGUCUUGCGUAGGAUGAGGCACUUUUAUUAGUGAACGUCCUCACGCAACCACUUUUUACUGUGAGAAAAUCAGAGUGCUCAAAGCAGGCAUUUGCCGUGAAUGUAUUAGCAUGGAAUAAUAGAAUAGGACUUGGUUCUAUUUUGUUGGUUUGUUGGGACUGAGUAAUGAUUAAGAGGGACAGUUGGGUGCAUUUGUAUUUCGGUGCUAGAGGUGAAAUUCUUAGAUUACCGAAAGACAAACUGCUGCGAAAGCGUCUGCCAAGGAUGUUUUCAUUGA